rnacentral:rRNA from 1 species
UACGAAGGGGGCUAGCGUUGCUCGGAAUCACUGGGCGUAAAGCGCACGUAGGCGGAUCUUUAAGUCAGGGGUGAAAUCCUGGAGCUCAACUCCAGAACUGCCUUUGAUACUGGGGAUCUCGAGUCCGGAAGAGGUGAGUGGAACUCCGAGUGUAGAGGUGAAAUUCGUAGAUAUUCGGAAGAACACCAGUGGCGAAGGCGGCUCACUGGUCCGGUACUGACGCUGAGGCGCGAAAGCGUGGGGAGCAAACGGG